rnacentral:lncRNA from 1 species
UUAAUUUCAUAUAGGUCCCUACAAAUAUAGUAAAUAAAAAAUAUAUUUCUACAAAGUUCAACUUUUAUAUGUUAUUUCUGUAAAAGUUCUGAUGUUUCCAACUGUGUCUAUAACGUUAGAAUUCGUUAGAAAAUUUUAGUUAACUAUAUGAAAAAUACUUUACCCUGAUUAAGUUUUUGAUAUUUUUACCUCUCUUAUAUUAUACUGUUAUAUAGCUUUUGGAGGAACUUAUUUGUGAUGGCAAAAUUGAAAAUAUAAAUGGUUUUUAACUGUUCUUUAACGGUAAUAAAAUACACUAAUAUAUUUGAAAAUAUUAGAUUUACGUAGGAACAAAAUAUAAAAGUUGAACUUUAUACGGAUGAA